rnacentral:rRNA from 1 species
CACGUAGGGCGCAAGCGUUGUCCGGAAUUAUUGGGCGUAAAGAGCUUGUAGGCGGUUUGUCGCGUCUGCUGUGAAAUUUCGGGGCUCAACCCCGAACUUGCAGUGGGUACGGGCAGACUAGAGUGUGGUAGGGGAGACUGGAAUUCCUGGUGUAGCGGUGAAAUGCGCAGAUAUCAGGAGGAACACCGAUGACGAAGGCAGGUCUCUGGGCCACUACUGACGCUGAGAAGCGAAAGCAUGGGGAGCGAACAGG